UCUCAAAGACUAAGCCAUGCAUGUCUAAGUAUAAACAAAUUUGUACUGUAAAACUGCGGACGGCUCAUUAAAUCAGUUACAAUCUACUUGAUCGUAUAUUCAAAGAAUUAAUCGGGUAACCCUAGUAAUUCUAGAGCUAACACGUGCAAAAAGCUCCGACCUCUUUUAACCGAGGGGAAAGAGUGUAUUUAUUAGGUAACUUAAAACCAAUCAGCCCAAAAGGCUGUUUUGUUGAUGAUUCAUAAUAACUUUGCAAAUCGCGGGCCAAUGUCUGCGAUGAUACAAACGAGUUUCUGACCUAUCAACUUUAGAUGGCAGGAUAGGGGCUUGCCAUGGUGACAACGGGUAACGGGGAAUA
rnacentral:rRNA from 1 species